rnacentral:rRNA from 1 species
UACGUAGGGUGCGAGCGUUGUCCGGAAUUAUUGGGCGUAAAGAGCUCGUAGGCGGUGUGUCGCGUCGGCCGUGAAAACCUGCAGCUUAACUGUGGGCUUGCGGUCGAUACGGGCAUCACUGGAGUUCGGCAGGGGAGACUGGAAUUCCUGGUGUAGCGGUGAAAUGCGCAGAUAUCAGGAGGAACACCGGUGGCGAAGGCGGGUCUCUGGGCCGUUACUGACGCUGAGGAGCGAAAGCGUGGGGAGCGAACAGG